CGGCACGCUCACGCUACCAUGACAACAGUUGAACGUGAACCCUGGGAGAAAGAUGGCAGCUGGAAGAAACUUUUCGGUCCAACCUUAUAUGUUUGAACCAGAGUCAGACCCUGAACAAGAAGGAGCUAGCGAAGAAGUUGUUCAAUGUAGACUGCAACAAGACGUUUCUGAAUGGUGUACUUGUGAGAAUUGCACAACAAUGCCUACAGAGCCAGAGAAUGUCUGCUGCAGGGAGGUACCACAGGCAGUACAUGGAUGCUUGUUGAAUGAAAAUGUAACUAUUCAGUCAUAUUAUCUGUCAUCAAACGUCACUUACCCUUUCAAAUUUACAGGUGAUAAGAAGACUACAUCAGCUUCAAAACCCACCUUCCUGCAGGGUAGACUACCCUGGCCUUGAACCAGUGUGUUUAAAUGCAUUCUCACUGCAGAAGGAACUAAAUAUCUACAGAGCAGACUAUGGGCGUUUACGUCUGAGGGGAAUAGAACACCGUUACAGGUACUUGGCCUAUAGGGGCUUUGUGAGCUGGUGUUGGGGCUUUCUGGGCCGAAGAAUUCGCGUGGUACUGCCCAGCUGUGUGGUGCUGCGUAUACGGGCGGAGUUCCCCGACGCUCAAGGCAUCUAUGUGGGG